CGGAAGAACUCUGUCUCUGAUUGGCAGGAGAGUCACGAACCGGUCAGCCCCGGGUCAGGGGCCGCAAGUGAGGACACUACAAGUGUCGAGGGGCCUAGGGGAAGCCGGGGCUUGGGAGGGCAGGGCUUUCUCUGCUUGCGGACAUCGCGAAGGGCCUCUGGCAGGCGCCGCCGGGUGGCGGCGAGACGCCUCCGCGCCUCCGGGGUUCCUUGUUCGCUGUCGGAGGAGGACCGGCUGAGGGAUGGCCUGGUGGGGAGGGAGCCCUCGGGCAGGUGGCUGCGUCGGGCCUGGGGCAGUUGUGCUGCGCUUGGAGACCUGCCCGCCCUCGGGGCCUGUGUGCACAGGGAGGAUAGGCUGUUUAUCUCUGCAGGCUCAGGAAGGCAGUUCUGUAGUCAGAAGUCCAACAUGGUUCUCAAUGGCCUAAAAUCAAGGUGUCCACAGGAUUGUGUUCCUUUCUAGAGAGCAAGCUGCAGUGUGGUAAACUGCCUUUGAAAGAGACCCACAUGUCAAGAAACUGAGCAUCACCUGUGACCAACAGCCAGAAAGUAACUGAAGCCCCAAGACGAACAGCUUGUGCAAAACUAAAUUCUGCCUACAACAAGAGCAUGAAUUGAGACGCAGAUCCUUCCCUAGUUGAUCCUUGAAAUGCUUGCAGCUCUAUGGACACCUUGAUUGCAGCCUUGUGAGAAAUUCUGAACUAGAGGACCUCGUAUGCCUUACCCAUAGGUCUUACAAGAUAAUACGUGUUUUUCAAAAAAGUAAGUUUGGGGAUAAUUUC
rnacentral:lncRNA from 1 species